UUCAAUUCUAAGUUCAGCUUUAAAGUCAAUAAAGGAAUUUUGAAAACAUUGUUUAUAGAAAGUUUCAUGGAGGGAAAAAAUCAAAAUAUAGAAAGCAAGACAGUUGAAAUGUUCUGGAAUAGUCUUCACAGGAGAGAGUGAGUUCAUCAAGGGAAGAGGCACUGUCUUUUCAUUUUUGCGUCACUGGGGCUAGACAGAAUAUUUGGCCUAUGGAAUGAAGAAGAGUAGUGCCAACUCAAGAAAGAACCAACUAUUGGCAUAUCCACCUGUCAUCGCCCUUGGGCUGAGAACGGAUUGUCAAAAAUCUCAGUGUAAAUAAGAUCAAUGGACA